UCCCUGGAGGACCAGUGGUUAGGCCUUGGUGCUAUCACCACUGCAGCCCGGGUUUGAGUCCCAGCCAGGGAA
rnacentral:tRNA from 1 species